UACGGAGGGGGGCUAGCGUUGUUCGGAAUUACUGGGCGUAAAGCGCACGUAGGCGGCUUUGUAAGUUAGAGGUGAAAGCCCGGGGCUCAACUCCGGAAUUGCCUUUAAGACUGCAUCGCUAGAAUUGUGGAGAGGUAAGUGGAAUUCCGAGUGUAGAGGUGAAAUUCGUAGAUAUUCGGAAGAACACCAGUGGCGAAGGCGACUUACUGGACACAUAUUUGACGCUGAGGUGCGAAAAGCGUGGGGGAGCAAACAGG
rnacentral:rRNA from 1 species